UUUUCAUGUGUUUAUUAAUAGUUUUGAUUUUUUUAACUGAAAAUUGCCUAAUCAUGUCCCUUGCCCAUUUAUCAAUUGUAGAAUAGCUUGAUUUUUUUGUACAACUGAUUUAGCCCUUUAUAAAUCUGAGUAAUUAGACCUUUGUCAGAGGUUUUGGUUAUGAAGAUUGUUUCCCAAUUUGUUGCUUUCCUUCAAAUAUGUUUGUAUUGGUUUUGUUUGUACAAAAACUUUUUAAUGUGAUCAAAAUAAUUUAUUUUACAUUUUGUGAGUUUUAUAGCCCUUGCUUGGUUUUAAAGUAUAAGUGUUUCUAUUAUAUGGGAAUGUAGAGAAUAGAUAUAUCAACAAAAUGGGCUGGAUCUUUCUGUAUAUAGAGUUAUAUGGUCAAAUACUGAGAUCUGUCAAGCAGGAAGGGAAGGAGGAAAUGAAUAGAUCCGUCUGAUGAGAAUAGUCUGAUGACACAAAGACCCCAUUACAUCAUAAUAUGCUGACUGGAGGAGGCAGGGUCAUAAGAGGCAGCAGAGGUGUAGGGAUAGAGACAGCCCUGGCGCUCUGCUCAUCCUUCACAGUCACUAUAGUCAUCUCCCUCCUUGACAGACUCCUUGGAGAGAGCAAAAGUAAGGAGUCUCCAUCUCCCCUCACCCUCCUGAACAAGCCCAACCCCUUGGAGCCCAUCAUAGCAUUGAUGGUGAGGAAAGUGAAAAAGGUGGCAGGGAUGGUGAUUAAUGAAGGAAAAAUGGGGCCUGAGAGUGUUGCAGUGAGAGGGGUGCUGACUGCUGGCAAAGUAGUUUGUGGGAUGCAAAGUGCUCAAUCAUGGAGAUUAGGGUAGGGUUGUUCACAGAAGGACCUCUGCCUCACCAAGGUGGACACUUAUAUCACUGACCACCAUGUCUCUUCUUGGACGGAUUAACAAGGGGAGGGUCUGGCAAGCCAGAACUCAUCUUCUCUUAUCUGCUUAUCACCUUAGGGCUGCUAAUGGAUGUCUGAGAGGGGAGAGGGGUCCAGAAAUUUGCCCAAAGGCCAUUCUGAGGAUCGGUUGGCAGAAAAGUGGUCACAACACACAAGCCACAGACUGCUGGAUCCAGUCCCAAAAGAAAGAAAAAAAAUCCCUGCUCAUCCCUCCGGAACAACAGCUUUCCUUUCUGAGGGCUGCUAAUGGAUGUCUGAGAGGGGAGAGAGGUCCAGAAAUCUACCCAAAGGCAACUCUGAGGAUCAAUUGGCAGAGAAGUGGUGAGGAAAUAGAAGCCACAGACUGCUGA
rnacentral:lncRNA from 1 species